UACGAGGGGGGCAAGCGUUGUUCGGAAUUAUUGGGCGUAAAGGGCGCGUAGGCGGUUUGACAAGUCUGAUGUGAAAUCUAUGGGCUCAACCCAUAGCCUGCAUUAGAAACUGUCGGGCUUGAGUAUGGGAGAGGAGAGUGGAAUUCCCGGUGUAGCGGUGAAAUGCGCAGAUAUCGGGAAGAACACCCGUGGCGAAGGCGGCUCUCUGGGACGGUACUGACGCUGAGACGCGAAAGCGUGGGGAGCGAACGGG
rnacentral:rRNA from 1 species